rnacentral:rRNA from 1 species
UACGAAGGGGGCUAGCGUUGCUCGGAAUCACUGGGCGUAAAGCGUGCGCAGGCGGUUUUGUAAGUCUGUCGUGAAAUCCCCGGGCUCAACCUGGGAAUGGCGAUGGAGACUGCAAGGCUAGAGUUUGGCAGAGGGGGGUAGAAUUCCACGUGUAGCAGUGAAAUGCGUAGAUAUGUGGAGGAACACCGAUGGCGAAGGCAGCCCCCUGGGUCAAAACUGACGCUCAUGCACGAAAGCGUGGGGAGCAAACAGG